rnacentral:piRNA from 1 species
UGGAAAGAAAGACACAAGUGGCUGAGGAU